UUGGUCGGAGUCCCGGGCGCCGGCUGGAGAGCCUCCCUGAAGUCCUGCGGUGGGGACUGUCAGUGCCAGCGGGCCCAGAACCAGCUCAGAUUCCCUAACUUUGGCAAGAGUGGCCAGGCUGAACCUUCAGUCCACAACAGAGCAAAGGACCCCUGGCUGCCGAGCAGUUCAGCACUCUGGACACCUCCCAGAGGAAGCAUUGACCAACACCUUUUCCUCCACCUGUUUCUGCACUAAUGGAACUUGGAAAUGUUCUCUCUUCAUGAUCCAUUGUGGUAGCCAUUAGUCACAUGCGACUGUUGAGUACUUCAGUUGUGGCUAGGGCAACUAAGGAAAUGAACUUUCAACUUUAAGUCUUUUCCUGAAUGACAAAAGAUUUGUUCUUAGGUUGUGGGCACUGUGCAUCAUUACGAGAUCACAUUUCCCUCUGUGCUGCCCGCUAGAAAGCUUGUCAGUUCUGGGUCCCAGCCUUGUAAGAUUAUAGAACCUGACAGCAUGCACCUUUAAUAUAA